ACUCAAAGGAAUUGACGGGGGCCCGCACAAGCGGCGGAGCAUGCGGAUUAAUUCGAUGCAACGCGAAGAACCUUACCUGGGUUUGACAUACACCCUGCCGCUCCAGAGAUGGGGCUUCUUUUGGGGGUGUACAGGUGGUGCAUGGCUGUCGUCAGCUCGUGUCGUGAGAUGUUGGGUUAAGUCCCGCAACGAGCGCAACCCUCGUUCUAUGUUGCCAGCACGUAAUGGUGGGGACUCAUAGGAGACUGCCGGGGUCAACUCGGAGGAAGGUGGGGAUGACGUCAAGUCAUCAUGCCCCUUAUGUCCAGGGCUUCACGCAUGCUACAAUGGCCGGUACAAAGGGCUGCGAUCCCGUAAGGGGGAGCGAAUCCCAAAAAGCCGGUCUCAGUUCGGAUUGGGGUCUGCAACUCGACCCCAUGAAGUCGGAGUCGCUAGUAAUCGCAGAUCAGCAACGCUGCGGUGAAUACGUUCCCGGGCCUUGUACACACCGCCCGU
rnacentral:rRNA from 1 species